GUUUUGGGAAAGUGGCUGCCGAACCAAUCAUAUCCCACUCUUCCUCCCCUGGAUCUCUUACCAGUUUAGUUUUUGCUUAGCCUCCAUACGCUGAUGAGGAUGUCACUCAUCCCCUGUGACCUGAUGAGAAUGUUGCUCAUCCACCAGGCCCUGGUGAGAACGUCGUUCUGUCUGCCUGCUCAGUCACUAUUUGUCCCGGCCUUGACUUUCAACUGGCAACCACAGCCUACAGGAUAAGCUCUAACAUGUGACAGAUACUGAUAUGGCCACUCAAUGACAGACACAAUCCCAGGUAACCUUUCAGCACUGAGAAGCACCUUCACUGCGCAGCAGCCCCACAGUGCCCUAAUGGAUC